CUAGUAGCUGGUUCCCUCCGAAGUUUCCCUCAGGAUAGCUGGUGCAUUNUAAUAUUAUGUUAAAUAAUCUUAUCUGGUAAAGCGAAUGAUUAGAGGCCUUAGGGUCGAAACGACCUUAACCUAUUCUCAAACUUUAAAUGGGUAAGAACCUCACCUUUCUUGAUAUGAAGGUUGAGGUUAUGAUAUAAUGUGCCCAGUGGGCCACUUUUGGUAAGCAGAACUNGCGCUGUGGGAUGAACCAAACGUAAUGUUACGGUGCCUAAAUUAACAACUCAUGCAGAUACCAUGAAAGGCGUUGGUUGCUUAAAACAGCAGGACGGUGGACAUGGAAGUCGUAAUCCGCUAAGGAGUGUGUAACAACUCACCUGCCGAAGCAACUAGCCCUUAAAAUGGAUGGCGCUUAAGUUGUAUACCUAUACAUUACCGCUAAAGUAGAUGAUUUAUAAUACAAUUUCGAUUGAAUUAUAAAUUUUGAAACUUUAGUGAGUAGGAGGGUACAAUGGUGUGCUUAGAAGUGUUUGGCGUAAGCCUGCAUGGAGCCGCUAUUGGUACAGAUCUUGGUGGUAGUAGCAAAUAAUCGAAUGAGACCUUGGAGGACUGAAGUGGAGAAGGGUUUCGUGUGAACAGUGGUUGAUCACGAGUUAGUCGGUCCUAAGUUCAAGGCGAAAGCCGAAAAUUUUCAAGUUUUAAUGC
rnacentral:rRNA from 1 species